UACAGGGGGGGCCAGCGUUAUUCGGAAUUAUUGGGCGUAAAGGGCGCGUAGGCGGCCAUGCGUGUCUUCCGUGAAAUCCCUCGGCUUAACUGAGGACGUGCGGAAGAAACUGCAAGGCUCGAGUCCGGGAGAGGGGGGUGGAAUUCCCAGUGUAGCGGUGAAAUGCGUAGAUAUUGGGAGGAACACCGGUGGCGAAGGCGGCCCCCUGGACCGGUACUGGCGCUGAGGCGCGAAAGCGUGGGUAGCAAACGGG
rnacentral:rRNA from 1 species